rnacentral:rRNA from 1 species
AUUGAACGCUGGCGGCAGGCUUAACACAUGCAGGUCGAGCGGGGGAAGGUAGCUUGCUACCGGACCUAGCGGCGGACGGGUGAGUAAUGCUUAGGAAUCUGCCUAUUAGUGGGGGACAACAUCUCGAAAGGGAUGCUAAUACCGCAUACGUCCUACGGGAGAAAGCAGGGGAUCUUCGGACCUUGCGCUAAUAGAUGAGCCUAAGUCGGAUUAGCUAGUUGGUGGGGUAAAGGCCUACCAAGGCGACGAUCUGUAGCGGGUCUGAGAGGAUGAUCCGCCACACUGGGACUGAGACACGGCCCAGACUCCUACGGGAGGCAGCAGUGGGGAAUAUUGGACAAUGGGGGGAACCCUGAUCCAGCCAUGCCGCGUGUGUGAAGAAGGCCUUAUGGUUGUAAAGCACUUUAAGCGAGGAGGAGGCUACUUUAGUUAAUACCUAGAGAUAGUGGACGUUACUCGCAGAAUAAGCACCGGCUAACUCUGUG